rnacentral:rRNA from 1 species
GACGAACGCUGGCGGCGUGCUUAACACAUGCAAGUCGAACGAAGUGGCGCACGGGUGAGUAACGCGUAAUCCACCUGCCCUUCAGAGGGGGACAACAGUUGGGAACGAAUGCUAAUACCGCAUACUGAAGGAGGGGAGUGCGUCUGGUUAGCUAGUUGGAUGGGUAACGGCCCACCAAGGCGAUGAUCAGUAGCCGGUCUGGUGGGAAGAACGGCAACAAUGGGACUGAGACACGGCCCAGACUCCUACGGGAGGCAGCAGUGGGGGAUCUUCCGCAAUGGACGAAAGUCUGACGGAGCAACGCCGCGUGAGUGAUGACGGCCUUCGGGUUGUAAAGCUCUGUUAAUCGGGACGCGGUACCGGAAUAGAAAGCAACGGCUAACUACGUGCCAGCAGCCGCGGUAAUUC